CAUUAAAUAUCUUAAUUAAGAGUUGAAUUUUUAAUUCAAAAAUAAUAAAUUAAUAUUUAUUUUUAAUGA
rnacentral:tRNA from 1 species